UGUUUGUCCUGGAGACAGGUCCCCUGGCCCUGCACCAGGAAUGUGAGUCUGAGCCUCUCACUGGAGAGUGAGCCUUCAGGCACAAGUGAAGGAGCAAGAGUCUGAGAGUCUUGAAGGCACGAGAAGUCCUCUGGGGUAGCCAAACAUGACCCAAAGUGAGGGAAAGGACCAUUCUUGUUUCUGCAUGGGGCACAGCAUGGCUUUAGUGGAUGCAAUGUGCACAGUAGAUAGUCAAUGACUAAGCACUCAUUAGGAAGAAGAGAGGGAGGAAAGGAAAGAAGGAAGGACACUUGAGGAAUAUAGAGGUCUGAGCAUCACCUCAAGGACAUGCAGCUUUGAGAGUCCCAAGACAGUCUAUCCAAGUCACAUCCUCCUCAAUUAUCAUGCAGAUCCAGGCCAUGAAGGCCCUUGAGAAGUCCCGUGACAGCAUUCAUGAGCAAAGCGGUCUAAGAAGAAUGUGAAGAAUACCAGGUAGUGAAGACUGUAAUUUCACGGAAACACCCCCCAGCCUCGCAGGAAGAACCAGGAUUCUCCUGAGGAUUAAAUGGGCUGGCAUUCAUAAAGCUCCUAAGACCUGCUUGGUGCUUGAGCAGAAGUCAGAUGUGCCAAUUCGUGGUUUACAUGGAAUACCUCCAUUCCUGCCUAUCCUCCUGUUUCUACCUGCUGCCACUGGAAGGGUUGCUUGGAGCUUUGCGAUAAUCUUUACUUUCAGCCAGGGAGAAAGGAGAAAGCUGCCCAAGGCAGGGAGUGCUUGGGGGAGCAUCCUGUAGGAAUGCACUCUGUGGACCUUGCUCAGUUCAGACCAACAGGUGUUCAUUGCAUUCCAGGCCUGUUUGCUUCCAGGAAUGCACAGGAGUGAGGCCUCAGGAUUCAAGACUUCUGGAUGUUGUUUCACUUAUAUAUUUUUCACUUUAGGAUAAUGCAUUUACUGGGAAAAAUAAACAAUUGUAGCUCAAGGCUGAGGCCCAGAUGAAGUGCGGGAUCCCUGGCAAGAGUGUAGCCCCGCGUGCACGUGCCCUCCCUGUGCUGUUUUGGUGGGGAGGGCAGCUCACAGGGCUCACGGGAAAGGAAGCAAGCAUGUUAGAGGUGGCUGCAUUGUAAGAGUAAAUUCCAUCUGAUUUACAAAGUCCUCAGAGCAGCUCCCUGUGGCUCUGGCAGCUAACUGAUCCAGUUAAUGGAAAGGGCGUGGCCUUGUGCCUGGCUUCUGAUGUGCCCUCGCUGUAAUCCCACCCGCGCCAUGGUCUAGCCACACUGGGCGGCCUCUCCCUGCUCGCUCCUCUCCUCUGCUUUCGUCUGCUGGGACUUCUCCCACGGCUGCACCACGUUAGGGCCUGCUGGGUGGCCGCAUGGGAUGCAUUUUCUACCACAGAUGGCCAUGGCUGAGGGCAGAUGGGCCUCCUGAAGGUAGGUCCAUCCCGGCUGCAGUGGACGCAGGGCUCCCGAGAAACUCAGUUGCUGAGAAGUGUCGUUUUCCAAUCAGCUAGCCUAGACUGCACCCGUGGAUUUUAACGCUUUCUUUGCUGUCAGAGCCUAGGCAAAGGUUCCUGCGAAAUUUCUGCCCUCAGGAAAUGAAGCCGUGUUUCUAGAGGGAGCUUGAACCUCUGAGCCUCACUUCACCUCUUUUGAUGUGUCUUUGUCAAACUCUGAAUACUCUUGAUUCAGAUGUCCAUAAAGUCAAGAAGAUGAUCACAAAAUAUAAAAAGCUGAUGAAUCUUUUGGAAAGUUAACAAUUUUCUUUAGGAGUUUUUCUCUUCCCUGUGUAAAAUGUUCCCCCCAGUUUGCCUCUUCAUGAUCCAUUCAGAGCUGUGUCAGGAGGGAGAUAAAGAAGCAGAAGGACCCAUGUGAAUUUCUCCCUGACGUUUCCAUGCCCUCCCUCCCAUUCAGACACGACCCCCUUUCAAGCGUUGCAAGCGGGAAGCAACCUACUGGUUAUGGGUAUUCUGAAAAUACUGUAGAAAAACAUAGUCCCAGAGGACACUCAGAGAGAAGCCGUAGAGCUAAGAGACCAGAUUCUAGUUCUGAUACUCUAAGUAGCUAUGCAACCUGUGGUUAAAAAAAAAUAAGAAAGAAACUCGACUAUAUUGACAAAUUACCAUGUGUCAGGCACUUUACAUGCAUUUUCUUAUUUAAUCCUCACAAGGUACUCCUAAGAAAGGUAAUUUUCUACUUACUUUGCAGAUAAACAAACUGUGAUUCAGAGUCUGUGAACUAUUCCAAGUUAACAUCAGUAGUAUGCAAAUAAAACAGAAAACUCAGACAUCAGUUUGGAUUUCAGGAUGAAAACAGACUGAAUUCGAACACGCCCCAGGCAAGGGGUCCA
rnacentral:lncRNA from 1 species